rnacentral:rRNA from 1 species
AUGCAAGUCGAGCGGGCGUAGCAAUACGUCAGCGGCAGACGGGUGAGUAACGCGUGGGAACGUACCUUUUGGUUCGGAACAACACAGGGAAACUUGUGCUAAUACCGGAUAAGCCCUUACGGGGAAAGAUUUAUCGCCGAAAGAUCGGCCCGCGUCUGAUUAGCUAGUUGGUAGGGUAAUGGCCUACCAAGGCGACGAUCAGUAGCUGGUCUGAGAGGAUGAUCAGCCACAUUGGGACUGAGACACGGCCCAAACUCCUACGGGAGGCAGCAGUGGGGAAUAUUGGACAAUGGGGGCAACCCUGAUCCAGCCAUGCCGCGUGAGUGAUGAAGGCCCUAGGGUUGUAAAGCUCUUUUGUGCGGGAAGAUAAUGACGGUACCGCAAGAAUAAGCCCCGGCUAACUUCGUGCCAGCAGCCGCGGUAAUACGAAGGGGGCUAGCGUUGCUCGGAAUCACUGGGCGUAAAGGGUGCGUAGGCGGGUCUUUAAGUCAGGGGUGAAAUCCUGGAGCUCAACUCCAGAACUGCCUUUGAUACUGAAGAUCUUGAGUCCGGGAGAGGUGAGUGGAACUGCGAGUGUAGAGGUGAAAUUCGUAGAUAUUCGCAAGAGCACCAGUGGCGAAGGC